rnacentral:rRNA from 1 species
UACGUAGGGGGCUAGCGUUGUCCGGAUUUAUUGGGCGUAAAGAGCGUGUAGGCGGCCAGGUAGGUCUGCUGUGAAAACUCGAGGCUCAACCUCGAGACGUCGGCGGAAACCAUCUGGCUAGAGUCCGGAAGAGGAGAGUGGAAUUCCUGGUGUAACGGUGAAAUGCGCAGAUAUCAGGAAGAACACCAAUGGCGAAAGCAGCUCUCUGGGACGGUACUGACGCUGAGACGCGAAAGCGUGGGGAGCGAACAGG